GGAGACGGAGGUUCACGAUGUGGCGAGGAAAAUGGACAAAGACAAAGCACUUGGUCCGGAUGGAUUUUCUAAAGGAUUCUUCCAAACUUGUUGGGAAGUGGUUAAGGGGGAUUUAAUGAAGGUUGUGGUUGGAUAGUGAGUUGAGAUGAGAUGAGAUGAGUUGAGAUGAAA